rnacentral:rRNA from 1 species
GACGAACGCUGGCGGCGUGCUUAACACAUGCAAGUCGAACGGAAAGGCCCUGCUUUUGUGGGGUUCUCGAGUGGCGAACGGGUGAGUAACACGUGAGUAUCCUGCCCUUGACUUUGGGAUAACUUCAGGAAACUGCGGCUAAUACCGGAGAGGAGCUCCUGCUGCAGGGUGGUGGUUGGAAAGUUUCGGCGGUAGGGGAUCGACUCGCGGCUUAUCAGCUUGUUGGUGGGGUAGUGGCUUACCCAGGCUUUGACGGGUAGCCGGCAUGAGAGGGUGAACAGGGUCAUGGGGACUGAGAGAGGGAGCAGAGUGCUACGUGAGGCAGCGGUGGGGAGUCUUGCACAGUGGGGGGAAGCGUGAGGAGGAGGCGCCGCGUGCGGGAAGACGGCCUUCGGGUGGUAAACGGCUUUCGGCUGUGACGAAGCGUGAGUGACGGUAAUGAGUAAAGAAGCACCGGCUAACUACGUG